UACGGAGGAUGCAAGCGUUAUCCGGAAUGAUUGGGCGUAAAGCGUCCGCAGGUGGCUAUGUAAGUCUGCUGUUAAAGAGCCUGGCUCAACCAGAUAAAGGCAGUGGAAACUACAUGGCUAGAGUGCGUUCGGGGCAGAGGGAAUUCCUGGUGUAGCGGUGAAAUGCGUAGAGAUCAGGAAGAACACCGGUGGCGAAAGCGCUCUGCUAGGCCGCAACUGACACUGAGGGACGAAAGCUAGGGGAGCGAAUGGG
rnacentral:rRNA from 1 species